UAUAGUAUAUAUAUAUAUAUAUAUAUAUAUAUAUAUACACAUUUUUAAUCCAGCCAGUCAUCACGCACUGAUGUCAUUCCACUUGAAUAAUACAGACUAACGCACAAUUAGCACGCCAUCCAACUGCUGACCAAAGUGUGUGCAACGGCGAACUAUAGAAGCGAAUCCACUGUAGUCCAACAAAACCAAACCUACCACUGUUUAAUACUGAUAUUUUGUUUUCUGACUGAACUAUGUAAGUCUCUGUAGGAACUGUUUACUGUAGAUGAGCCACGUAACCCUUUCACAGUGACAUCCUGACUGACACAUGAGUUGAAGGUUGUUUUAGGCUGUCAGUUGCCCAAACUGGAAAUUUUUACUGUGACCUUUUUACUGAAUGUGAAACAGCUUUAUUCAGGUCCUACAGCGUGUUGUGAUCUUUUUUUAAAGGUUGAGGAAAUGCUAUAGAAUUUUAAAUAAACCAAGCAAUAGAUUCACAAUGAAAUUAUGU